GCGUGCAAAGUGUUGUGGCUGCACGCCUUCCUGCCUAGGAGGAAGCGAGGGUUCGAUCCCCUCUGCGCGCU
rnacentral:tRNA from 1 species